GGGCCACUAGCUCAACUGGCAGAGCAGGGGACUCUUAAUCCCAAGGUUGAAGGUUCAAGUCCUUCGUGGCCCA
rnacentral:tRNA from 1 species